UACGUAGGGGGCGAGCGUUGUCCGGAUUUAUUGGGCGUAAAGAGCUCGUAGGCGGUUCGGCAAGUCGACGGUGAAAUCUCCACGCUCAACGUGGAGGGGUCCGUCGAUACUGCUGUGACUCGAGUCCGGUAGGGGAGUGUGGAAUUCCCGGUGUAGCGGUGAAAUGCGCAGAGAUCGGGAGGAACACCCGUAGCGAAGGCGGCACUCUGGGCCGGUACUGACGCUAAGGCGCGAAAGCGUGGGGAGCGAACAGG
rnacentral:rRNA from 1 species